rnacentral:tRNA from 1 species
CUGGGUGUAGCUCAGUGGUAGAGCACCUGCUUAGCAUCUGUGAGGCCCUGGGUUCCAUCCCCAGCAUCCAAG